rnacentral:lncRNA from 1 species
GUAAUUGUAAUUUGUUUGUUGUAGUUUGCUGUUAUUGUUUUUGAGAUGUUUUUUGCUGGACAAGUUGAAGAGCUAAAUGUAAUUUUUGUUUUGGUUUACUUGACUUGGUAAUUGUGUUUGAGUUUGUUUGUAAGGGUAGUUGUAAUUUUUUUGUUGUAGUUUGUCGUUAUUGUGUUUGAGAUGUUUGUUUGCUGGAAAAUUUGAAAAGCUAAAUGUAAUUUUUAUUAUAGUUUACUUGAAUUUGUGAUUGUUUUUGAGUUUGUUUAUAAUUGUAAUAGAAUUUCAACGCCUACUUGUUUUUUAAAUUUAUUGUCUUAAUUUGUUGUAAUUUCACUCGAGUUAGUUGUUUGUUUCAUUUGUUUAUAAUUGCAAAAAAAUCAAUUGGAUUUUUCUUUCAGUGUACUUAGAUUCGUAAUUGUAUUCGAGUUUUUUUGUAUUUUUAUUCCAAUUUCAGUUUCUAAUUAUAAUUUGUUUGCUUUGCAUUGUUCAUAUCGAUCUAUUAUCAUGUAGGUUUUUAGUGUUCAAAUUCAUCCUUCAACUAAGUUAUGGUAGCAUAAUUUAAAAUUAUUGUUUGAUUAGUUAGCAAAAAAAUAAAAAUAAUUGACUAAUCAGAUAAUAAAAUAAUGAGGUAAAAUUUCAUAUGAACUCACUUCCUCUAUCGCUCUGGUUCUCUUCUUCAUACACACUUUCGCUUUUUUGUCGCUCACAGACAAUAAAGCACGCCACAAGCUAUACCGAGAACCUGCCAGCGUAAGUAAGAAAGCCACUAUUCGUAGGUUUGCUACAACAAGUAAUUAUACAAAAUCAUUAAAAUAAAAAUUGAAUUUUCAUCACUUACAGCACAAUUUUAAAGAAUGGUCAGGGCCUCCUUUCUUUUGCCAGCGAUGCGAGAAUCAAGACAAACAUACCAAAACCUAGGAAAUAUAAUGUGAAAGACAAGAAGAAAAAGAUUCCUCAUAAAUGCAGUAGCU